UCGAGAAUCUUCGGCAAUGGGCGCAAGCCUGACCGAGCGACGCCGCGUGGAGGACGAAGGCCUUCGGGUUGUAAACUCCUGUCGAGGGGGAAGAAGGUCCGCAAGGGCUUGACUGAUCCCUGGAGGAAGCACGGGCUAAGUUCGUGCCAGCAGCCGCGGUAAGACGAACCGUGCGAACGUUAUUCGGAAUCACUGGGCUUAAAGCGCGUGUAGGUGGGGCGGCACGUCGGCCGCUGAAAUCCCCCGGCUUAACCGGGGAACGGGCGCCGAUACGACCGCCCUUGAGGGGCGUAGGGGGGGCUGGAACUUCCGGUGGAGCGGUGAAAUGCGUUGAGAUCGGAAGGAACGCCCGUGGCGAAAGCGAGCCCCUGGACGUCAUCUGACACUGAGACGCGAAAGCCAGGGGAGCGAACGGGAUUAGAUACCCCUGUAGUCC
rnacentral:rRNA from 1 species